rnacentral:tRNA from 1 species
GGGCGGCUAGCUCAGUUGGUUAGAGCGUCACGCUUACAUCGUGAAGGUCACAAGUUCGAGUCUUGUGCCGCCCA